rnacentral:rRNA from 1 species
AUUGAACGCUGGCGGCAGGCCUAACACAUGCAAGUCGAGCGGUAGAGGGGUGCUUGCACUCCUUGAGAGCGGCGGACGGGUGAGUAAUGCCUAGGGAUCUGCCUGGUAGUGGGGGAUAACCAGUCGAAAGACUGGCUAAUACCGCAUACGAUCCAUGGAUGAAAGCGGGGGACCGAAAGGCCUCGUGCUCCUGGAGCGGCCGAUAUCUGAUUAGCUAGUUGGUGGGGUAAAAGCUCACCAAGGCGACGAUCAGUAGCUGGUCUGAGAGGACGACCAGCCACACUGGGACUGAGACACGGCCCAGACUCCUACGGGAGGCAGCAGUGGGGAAUUUUGGACAAUGGGGGGCAACCCUGAUCCAGCAAUGCCGCGUGUGUGAAGAAGGCCUCGGUGUAAGCACUUUGUCGGAAGAAAUACGCCUGGGAGUAAUACCUU